rnacentral:rRNA from 1 species
AGUGAAGCGGCAAAAGCUCAAAUUUGAAAUCUGGUACCUUCGGUGCCCGAGUUGUAAUUUGGAGAGGGCAACUUUGGGGCCGUUCCUUGUCUAUGUUCCUUGGAACAGGACGUCAUAGAGGGUGAGAAUCCCGUGUGGCGAGGAGUGCGGUUCUUUGUAAAGUGCCUUCGAAGAGUCGAGUUGUUUGGGAAUGCAGCUCUAAGUGGGUGGUAAAUUCCAUCUAAAGCUAAAUAUUGGCGAGAGACCGAUAGCGAACAAGUACAGUGAUGGAAAGAUGAAAAGAACUUUGAAAAGAGAGUGAAAAAGUACGUGAAAUUGUUGAAAGGGAAGGGCAUUUGAUCAGACAUGGUGUUUUGUGCCCUCUGCUCCUUGUGGGUAGGGGAAUCUCGCAUUUCACUGGGCCAGCAUCAGUUUUGGUGGCAGGAUAAAUCCAUAGGAAUGUAGCUUGCCUCGGUAAGUAUUAUAGCCUGUGGGAAUACUGCCAGCUGGGACUGAGGACUGCGACGUAAGUCAA